UACGAAGGGUGCAAGCGUUACUCGGAAUUACUGGGCGUAAAGCGUGCGUAGGCGGUUUGUUAAGUCUGUCGUGAAAGCCCCGGGCUCAACCUGGGAAUGGCGAUGGAUACUGGCUCGCUAGAGUGCGGUAGAGGAGAGUGGAAUUCCCGGUGUAGCAGUGAAAUGCGUAGAGAUCGGGAGGAACAUCAGUUGCGAAGGCGGCUCUCUGGACCAGCACUGACACUGAGGCACGAAAGCGUGGGGAGCAAACAGG
rnacentral:rRNA from 1 species